rnacentral:rRNA from 1 species
ACGCUCGACACCUACUGGAGGCAGCAGUGGGGAAUAUUGCACAAUGGGGGAAACCCUGAUGCAGCGACGCCGCGUGAAGGAAGAAGUAUCUCGGUAUGUAAACUUCUAUCAGCAGGGAAGAAAAUGACGGUACCUGACUAAGAAGCCCCGGCUAACUACGUGCCAGCAGCCGCGGUAAUCUGAGCGGGCUGGCAAGGC